UCCUUAUCCUAUAUAAUACAUGUAUAUGUACAUAUUAUAUUGACGGAAUAAGAUUAUAACCGCUUGUUUCUCUCUUCCUCUCUUCCCCUUUCUCCCUACUUUCAUAAUACGUUAUCAGCACCAUCGCUAACCAACAGAAGAUAACAACGAGAAUUACAAACGAAAUACAAAGAAAAUUGUCUACAUUAUUCCGCCAAAUUGUGUCGCAAGUGCAUGUACUUAGUAUUGUUUUCAAAAGUUUGGUGAUAUAAAUACUCACCUAGCGCAUACAACUGAAGAUUUGAAAAUUCAAGUCCAAUGGUGGAGAAUCAAAUUUCAAGGAGCUACAUGUUGAUACAUUUGAAAAGUUAUCAACAAGAUUAUAUUCAUUGAACUUGAAGAUCUAAAGUGAUGUAUUCAUCAGGGGGAGAAAAUACGCGUUGCACUCUUUUUCCGUUAACCAUGGUUUUGUCCCAUUGGGUUUUCCUGGUAAGGUUUUUAACGAGGCAACAUCCCAAGCGUAUUAUGAUGAGUGUUGUACUCUUUUCCUUCACUAAGUUUUUAUCCCACAGGGUUUUCUUAGUAAGGUUUUUAAUGAGGCAUCAUUCCAUGUAUAUUACAGGGUCAUUGUAUUAUUUUAGAUAAUGGACAUCCAAGGGGGAGUGUUAUAAAUGUAUUGUAUUGUGGAUGCCCAUUAUACCCCUAGCAUCCUUAUCCUAUAUAAUACAUGUAUAUAUACAUAUUAUAUUGA